rnacentral:lncRNA from 1 species
UUUUGUUUUCACUGCUGCUAUUGCGAUCAAAUCAUUUCUUAGCAGGCAGCAUGAUUUCAAAAUUUUAGUUGAAGUAGUAAGUUUUGUUUUUACUGCUGCUAUUGCAUAUAUGCUUUCACAUUUUCUCAACCAACAUUUUGCUUGCCACUGACCAAUCCAAUGUCUGUUUUUUGACCUCUCUAGGGUACUAAGAUAAAGAAAAGUUCCACUAAUGCAUCAGGUACUUGUCAUGCUACUGCAUCAAGGCCUGCUUGAAUUCUUGGAUUCAUAAUCUGCCUAUAGUAAAAGUUCAUGUCGGUUGUAUUUCCCGAAAAAUGUAUACUAUUGCAGUGAAGUUAUACACAUCAGUUCUAACAAGGUAUGUAUCAUUCUUCCUGCUACUGUUUGGGUUGGAUAUCAUUGGUUAUUGUCUAGCUUGUUACCCCAUGACAGGGUUCAGAGAAUUGUGCUGAGCCAUUUUCCGACCAGGUUUGGGACCGAGAUUUGUACUAGUUGAUCCAUAUGAAAUUAGGUUCUCUCUUCCCUAAAAGGUUCUAUGGCUAAGUUUCUGAUGAAUUACCAAUGCAUGUGCUAAAGGUUUUUUGUACUGCUGUGUGAUCUGUUUAUAGAUUUGUACGAUAUUCUUAAAAUAACCUUUUUUUUAGAUGUGUAUUAUCAAGUGCCUGAAAAAGGAAUCUUAUUAUUUUCUGGAUUUUUGAUGGUAAUCUCUAUGCUGCACCAGAUUUCAUUUGUUAAGGUAUCCUAGACAUGUCUAAUUUUCUUAAAAUUUCAGGACUAAGGGGUUAAAAGAUUUCUUGAUCUUGAUUUUGUCUUUAUUUCUAAAGUCUUAAUGAACAAGCAGACAUUUGCACUGGCAUUCUUGUUAGAAAUCCAAGGAGAAUCUACUGAAUCAUCAAGAACCUUAUACAGGAGGGUUUUUCUAACAGCAGUUUGACUUGUGAUCAAUGUUAAAUUUGCAACAGCAAAUGUAACCCAACCUUUCUGGUUGAGGGGAAGUUGAUGGGUCUUGGACAAGGUUUUUUGAAACUUUGAGAUCUUUCUUGUAUUUUAAUGGAGCAUGAAAUGGAGCAAUGGACUACAGGAAAAGAGAAGCAAGAGUGGCACUGUGACCAGCAGUUGGGAAGUCUGUCAGACAGUCAAAGAGCUAAAAUAAAAGGGGAAAAGAAAACAGGACUAACCAAUAUGAUCUUUGUUCUGCCUGGGUUGGAGGAUUCUGUUCAUCUUUAUUGUCCUCAAAUUACUGCAGAAAAAGUUAAUCUGCCUGUGUUUCUCUAUUGCAGCUUUCGGC